rnacentral:rRNA from 1 species
GACGGAGGAUGCAAGUGUUAUCCGGAAUCACUGGGCGUAAAGCGUCUGUAGGUGGUUUAAUAAGUCAACUGUUAAAUCUUGAGGCUCAACCUCAAAAUCGCAGUCGAAACUAUUAGGCUAGAGUAUAGUAGGGGUAAAGGGAAUUUCCAGUGGAGCGGUGAAAUGCGUAGAGAUUGGAAAGAACACCAACGGCGAAAGCACUCUGCUGGGCCGACACUGACACUGAGAGACGAAAGCUAGGGGAGCGAAUGGG